UCGGGAAUUUUGCUCAAUGGGGGAAACCCUGAAGCAGCAACGCCGCGUGAGGGAUGAAGGCCUUCGGGUUGUAAACCUCUUUUGUCAGGGACGAUGAUGACGGUACCUGGCGAAUAAGCCACGGCUAACUACGUGCCAGCAGCCGCGGUAAUACGUAGGUGGCAAGCGUUGUCCGGAUUUACUGGGCGUAAAGAGCGCGCAGGCGGUCGUGCAAGUCGAAUGUGAAAGCCCCUGGCUCAACCAGGGAGGGUCAUUCGAUACUGUUCGACUCGAAGGCAGGAGAGGGAAGCGGAAUUCCGGGUGUAGUGGUGAAAUGCGUAGAUAUCCGGAGGAACACCAGUGGCGAAGGCGGCUUUCUGGCCUGUUCUUGACGCUGAGGCGCGAAAGCUAGGGGAGCAAACGGG
rnacentral:rRNA from 1 species